rnacentral:lncRNA from 1 species
GUUGCCUCAGGGUGCCCGACCGCCCAGGCCCCUUUUAAACUUAGUCUCUCCGGCGCCCUCCCUUUUCCACCGCGGUGCCUGACUCGGCUCAGUCCAGUUCAAGAUGCUGACGAACUUCAGGGCUGGUGCUUGAAAGCAGCUUUUCAACGAGAUAAAGUGUAUUUGAACAUGUGGUAAUUGAUACAUAGGGAAUAGAUGCUUUUGCUUUCUUUGUCCCUUUUGUGGUAGUAGCAGGGGCGAAUUCUGAGAAGGUGCCAAACAGCUGUAAGAACAUACAUCUACCUGCCCCAUAGAGAAUUUUAUAGAAGGUAGUUCUAUUACUUAAAGUAGUCCUUCUACCAACCAACCAACCAGCCCCAGACUGAAGCUUGACACCGCUAUCUUGACAACUUUGUUGAUUUGCAAAGGUUAUUUUUAAAUCUCAUUCUUUUGACUGUCCUAAAGAUACGUUUCACAGUAGCCUCUUAAAAAUUUGGUUUUAGCAUAUGCUUACAAAUUU